GACGUAGGAGGCGAGCGUUAUCCGGAUUCACUGGGCGUAAAGCGCAUGUAGGCGGAUGUCUAAGUCGUGUGUUAAAGCCCCUGGCUCAACUGGGGGAGGUCAUGCGAGACUGGAUGACUUGAGGGCAACAGAGGCACGUGGAACUCCCGGUGUAGCGGUGGAAUGCGUAGAGAUCGGGAAGAACACCAAUGGCGAAAGCAGCUUUCUGGGACGGUACUGACGCUGAGACGCGAAAGCGUGGGGAGCGAACAGG
rnacentral:rRNA from 1 species